GCCUGGGUGGCUGAGUCAGUUAAGUGUCUGACUUCAGCUCAGGUCAUGAUCUCGCAGCACGUGGGUUCAAGCCCCACACCGGGCU
rnacentral:tRNA from 1 species